rnacentral:rRNA from 1 species
GUGGGGAAUAUUGCACAAUGGGCGCAAGCCUGAUGCAGCCAUGCCGCGUGUAUGAAGAAGGCCUUCGGGUUGUAAAGUACUUUCAGCGGGGAGGAAGGUGUUGUGGUUAAUAACCACAGCAAUUGACGUUACCCGCAGAAGAAGCACCGGCUAACUCCGUGCCAGCAGCCGCGGUAAUACGGAGGGUGCAAGCGUUAAUCGGAAUUACUGGGCGUAAAGCGCACGCAGGCGGUCUGUCAAGUCGGAUGUGAAAUCCCCGGGCUCAACCUGGGAACUGCAUUCGAAACUGGCAGGCUAGAGUCUUGUAGAGGGGGGUAGAAUUCCAGGUGUAGCGGUGAAAUGCGUAGAGAUCUGGAGGAAUACCGGUGGCGAAGGCGGCCCCCUGGACAAAGACUGACGCUCAGGUGCGAAAGCGUGGGGAGCAAACAGGAUUAGAAACCCCAGUAGUCC